rnacentral:rRNA from 1 species
UACGUAGGGUGCGAGCGUUAAUCGGAAUUACUGGGCGUAAAGCGUGCGCAGGCGGUUUUGUAAGGCAGAUGUGAAAUCCCCGGGCUUAACCUGGGAAUGGCAUUUGGGACUGCAAGGCUCGAGUGCGGCAGAGGAGACUGGAAUUCCUGGUGUAGCAGUGAAAUGCGUAGAUAUCAGGAGGAACACCGAUGGCGAAGGCAGGUCUCUGGGCUGACACUGACGCUCAUGCACGAAAGCGUGUGGAGCAAACAGG